CGCAGCGUUGUGCAAUUAGUUACCAUGAUAGAUGAUUUUCAUUGUUGUUGUUCCUGUUGUUGUUUUUUGGGCAACAACAAUGACAAACUUUUUACUAGCGUCAGUCAGGUAGUAAUAACAGUCAGUUUGUGAGUAACUGAACUAUUUGUGAUAUAUGAAAACCAAACGCUCAUACGCACAGUUAGCCAGGCAUAAAACGUUAAAUGCUAAUUUAAAUAUUUUUGCACUGUUGACUGACAGUCGGCAGCUGGAAAUUUCUAAUUAAAAUACAUAGUAGUUGCUCGAAAGUUGUUUGCAACUUUUGUGGGCGUCAGCAUUCAAUAUCAAUAGACGGCAUUUAAUAAAAUUCAAGUUGAAAGAAGCAAAAGCACACAGCCAAAGCAAUUGCAAAAACCUUGAUGGUAAUCAAAGCGUUCAGCUGAAGCACAAGCAGCACAAUGAAAUCGCAGCCAGUGCCCCGCCAACAAACUCCCCUCUUUUGGUAUUCGCAAUUUCGUUAAUAAAACGGCAAUAGCUGGCAAUCGAAGUGAGCCAGCAAAAAGAAAAGUCUAUUGCAAUUCAUCCACUAUUGUAUUCUAUUCAUUUUGCUAACAAUUUUGAACUCGCUCACAGAGUUGAGUACCCGCUGCGAAAUAUGAACUACAUUGCUUUUAACAGCUUUGAAAGCAUUUGCUUUGUCAACUGGCAAACAGCGAAAUGUAGCAGCAGUCUGGAAGAGAUCAUGUAAAACUAACGAUAUUAAACUGCUAUGAAAAUUUAUACAUAUUGAAAAAAUUCACUAAAGAAAAA